ensembl:piRNA 21ur-3181 ncRNA
UCGGCCCAUCAAUUUUAGCAA